rnacentral:misc_RNA from 1 species
CAUAAAUGAGUUAUUUGGAUAAAAACAUUAAGAUAUGCAAACCAAAAUAGUUCCCUGCAGUUCUAGGAGUAAUUAUAAAAUUUCUCAAGUUCUAGACAAUGCAAAUCCGAAAACUAAAGGAGGACUGUCCAAUUAAAUCAAAUUUGCAUCUAAAAUCUUUGGCUACUUUAUUGAUCACUUUUCUUAGUAAUGAGGCCGAGGAGGACCCCAAUGCAUAACAUCAGG